rnacentral:tRNA from 2 species
GGGUUGGUGGCUGAGAGGCUGAAGGCGUUGAUUUGCUAAAUCAAAGGUAGGCAAUCCCUACUCGUAGGUUCGAAUCCUAUCCAGCCCA